UACGUAGGGACCAAGCGUUGUUCGGAUUUACUGGGCGUAAAGGGCGCGUAGGCGGCAAUUCAAGUCAUCUGUGAAAUCUCCGGGCUUAACUCGGAAUGGUCAGGUGAUACUGCUUUGCUAGAGUGCAGAAGGGGCAAUCGGAAUUCUUGGUGUAGCGGUGAAAUGCGUAGAUAUCAAGAGGAACACCUGAGGUGAAGACGGGUUGCUGGGCUGACACGUGACGCUGGAGGCGCGAAAGCUAGGGGAGCAAACAGG
rnacentral:rRNA from 1 species